rnacentral:lncRNA from 1 species
GCCUUUCAGACCUAAAAUAACACCAGAAGUAAAGGAGGUGCCAAGGAACAACCUUCAUUCCUCCCGCACCCCCCAGACAGGCAGAAAAAUAAACAACUCAGAAAACCUGCUCAAACAGACCAAUCCAACCAGGUCAGCAAAGAUUGGCUCAUGAUUGAAAUAAAUGGGACAGAUCUUUUAAACUGGUCUUUUACAAUUAAACUCUCAAACACUGUACUUUCCAUUUGUGUAGAAAGUAACCUGUCAAUUUUAAAAUGUUUCCAAUGCCAACUCUAACUGGUAAUGACUUUAUUCAACAGGCCUUUUGAUUCUGCACUCAGGAAAAAACAAGAAAAAAUACAAGAACCAGAAGAAAUAAAGGCAGUACCGGGGAACAUCCUUUUCAACGCUCAGGAAGAUAAUAACAUGGAACAGCAUUUUAAAAAAGGUGACAUUUUCAGAGGAGAAAUCUACCAGGCCUUUCUGACAUUUCACGACAGAAGAAAAUGUGACGCCAAGAACUCCAGCUUACAGAGUCUCCUGAAUUUGACUGACUUUAUGAAUGAUAUCAGUUCAUUGAGAAGGAUUGGAGACACGUCCAUGGAGCCAAAAUGCUAAAGGAGCUAUUAAAGCUCAGGAAAAGCCACACCGCAACAGACCAUAAUGUUAAAAUCAAGCUCCUGCUAUCAUUCAAACUGUCACUCAGUAUGAAUGCUCCUGCAUUCAUCGGAAACCUCCAGCAUGACGCUCAUGAGUUCCUGACCACGGUCCUGGAUCAGAUUAGUAUGGUGAUGAGAGCCACAUCAAAGCAAAGCGUUCAGAGCAUCGUCUGCCCCCGUGAAAAAGCAUACGCAAUUUUCCAUCAACUAUGUCAGAAAAUGCAAGAGAUAAAAGCGCAGUCUUGUGUUGCUGCUAUUGUCAGAAGCAUGAUGCUAAUGCAAUUUUAAUGUCAACGUUUCUUUACUAUGAAGUUGCAAUAUAAAGAGCAUGAGAAACCUACACUAUACAAACCUGUCUCUGGAUGUGAUACGUGGAGCAACGGUCGAGGAGAUGAUGCAGAGGUACUUUACGGAGGAAGAAGUUCAGUUCAAGUGUGAGUGGUGUGAAGGAUGUAGAUCAAUUCUCAGUUCAUCUUUGGAAUCUCCACCACGUGUGUUCAUCCUCCAGCUGAAGCGAUUUUGUUUCUUUACAAAUGACAAGAUAUGCGACAGGGUGCAGCCUGCUACAGUCUGGUCAGCGUCAUCAAUCAUCUCGGGACAUUACACAGAGGACACUAUGUCUGCAAUUGUAUUUAUCCAGACAGGAGUCCAGAUGACUUUUCAGACCCCUGGAUGA